rnacentral:rRNA from 1 species
AGUGAACGCUGGCGGUAGGCCUAACACAUGCAAGUCGAACGGCAACACAGUAAGAGCUUGCUCUUACGGGUGGCGAGUGGCGGACGGGUGAGGAAUACAUCGGAAUCUACUUUUUCGUGGGGGGUAACGUAGGGAAACUUACGCUAAUACCGCAUACGACCUACGGGUGAAAGCAGGGGAUCUCCGGACCUUGCGGGAUUGAAUGAGCCGAUGUCGGAUUAGCUAGUUGGCGGGGUAAAGGCCCACCAAGGCGACGAUCCGUAGCUGGUCUGAGAGGAUGAUCAGCCACACUGGAACUGAGACACGGUCCAGACUCCUACGGGAGGCAGCAGUGGGGAAUAUUGGACAAUGGGCGAAAGCCUGAUCCAGCCAUACCGCGUGGGUGAAGAAGGCCUUCGGGUUGUAAAGCCCUUUUGUUGGGAAAGAAAAGCAGCAGGUUAAUACCCCGCUGUUCUGACGGUACCCAAAGAAUAAGCACCGGCUAACUUCGUG